rnacentral:rRNA from 1 species
GUGCAUUUGUCACAUGGGUCCGAUGUAUUUCAUUGGAAACUACAUGGGAAUGGAAAAUUCUUAGUAGAAUCUAUGUAUAGAGCUUUACUUCAGUCUAAUGUGCCAGUUGAUAAUAAUAAAAAGAUCUGGAAGAUGAAGAUACCUCCUAAGAAUAAAAUAUUUGCAUGGUAUCUUCGUCAUGGAGUCAUUCUUAAUAAAGACAACCUUAUUAAGAGAAAUUGGCAUGGAAGUACGCAAUGUGUAUUUUGUCAGCAUGAUGAGACAGUAAAACAUUUGUUCUUCCAAUGGAAAUUGGCUCGUUCUAUACGGUGUCAUCCAAAUAGCUUCUGGCUUGUAUCCUCCUUAUAG